UACGAAGGGGGCUAGCGUUGUUCGGAAUUACUGGGCGUAAAGCGCACGUAGGCGGAAUGUUAAGUCAGGGGUGAAAUCCCGGGGCUCAACCCCGGAACUGCCUUUGAUACUGGCAUUCUCGAGUCCGGAAGAGGUGAGUGGAAUUCCGAGUGUAGAGGUGAAAUUCGUAGAUAUUCGGAGGAACACCAGUGGCGAAGGCGGCUCACUGGUCCGGUACUGACGCUGAGGUGCGAAAGCGUGGGGAGUAAACAGG
rnacentral:rRNA from 1 species